GUAACAGAGGGUUUGAUUAUGAGCUCAGAUUGAACACUGGCGGGAUGCUUUACACAUGCAAGUCGAACGGCUUGGCACGGACUUCGGUCUGGUGGCGAGUGGCGAACGGGUGAGUAAUGUAUCGGAACGUGCCUAGUAGCGGGGGAUAACUACGCGAAAGCGUAGCUAAUACCGCAUACGCCCUUCGGGGGAAAGCGGGGGACCUUCCGGGCCUGCUUUUAUUAGAGCAGCCGAUAUCGGAUUAGCUAGUUGGUGGGCGUAACGGCUCACCAGGCGACGUUCCAUGUGGUUUGAAGGACGACUAAACACUGGACUGAGACACGGCCCAGACUCCUACGGAAGGCAGCAGUGAGGUACGGACAAUGGGGAAACCUGAUCAGCCAUCCCGCGUAUUACGUGAGGCCUUCGGGUUUAUCAACGCUUUGGCAGGAAAGAAGCGGCUGGGAUAAUACCCCGUGCAACUGAUAACUACCUACAGAAUAAGCACCAGCUAACUACGUGCCAGCAGCCACUUGAUAUGCAUGAGUGCAAGCGUUAAUCGGAAUUACUGGGCGUAAAGCGUGCGCGAGCGGUUCGGAAAGAAGAAAUGUGAAAUCCCAGAGCUUAACUUUGGAACUGCAUUUUUGAAGGCUACCGAGCUAGAAAAUUAAUGACCAGAGGAAAUUGGAAUUCCUGUGCCGCAGUGAAAUGCGUGAUAUGCGGAGGAACACCGAUGGCGAAGGCAGCCUCCUGGGAUAACACUGACGCUCAUGCACGAAAGCGUGGGAGCAAACAGGAUUAGAUACCCUGGUAGUCCACGCCCUAAACGAUGUCCAACUAGCUGUUGGGCCUUCGGGCCUUGGUAGCGCAGCUAACGCGUGAAGUUGACCGCCUGGGAAGUACGGUCGCAAGGUUAAAACUCAAAGGAAUUGACGAGGACCCGCACAGCGGUGGAUGAUGUGGAUUAAUUCGAUGCAACGCGAAAAACCUUACCUACCCUUGACAUGUCUGGAAUCGAAGAGAUUUGGGAGUGCUCGCAAGAGAACCGGAACACAGGUGCUGCAUGGCUGUCGUCAGCUCGUGUCGUGAGAUGUUGGGUUAAGUCCCGCAACGAGCGCAACCCUUGUCAUUGAGUUGCUACGAAGAGCACUCUAAUGAGACUGCCGGUGACAAACCGGAGGAAGGUGGGGAUGACGUCAAGUCCUCAUGGCCCUUAUGGGUAGGGCUUCACACGUCAUGCAAUGGUCGGGACAGAGGGUCCCUUAGCCCGCGAGGAGCCAAUCCCAGAAACCCGAUCGUAGUCCGGAUCGCAGUCUGCAACUCGACUGCGUGAAGUCGGAAUCGCUAGUAAUCGCGGAUCAGCAUGUCGCGGUGAAUACGUUCCCGAGGUCUUGUACACACCGCCCGUCACACCAUGGGAGUGGGUUUUACCAGAAGUAGUUGCUUCUAACCGUAAGGAGGGCGAUUACACGGUAGAGGAUUCGUGACUGGGGUGAAGUCGUAACGGUAA
rnacentral:rRNA from 1 species